UGGCUUCUGUUGGAGAAAUCUUCUUGAAGUGUUUUAAAGUUGACAAAACGUUUCCAUCAGUCUAGUCUGAAGGUUUGCAGAUUCUGCUAUUUAAAGUCUGAAGACCGCCGGACAGCCAGACUCAAGACUCAAAGUCUAUCCUCAUUGACAGUCUCUAAUCCGUUGAAGAAAGCUUAUCCAGAACUGGAUGUUUCGUUAAGGAUAUGAUCUUAUUAACUGGAGAAGAUCUCGUGGCUGGAAAAGACAUAACGGAAUCCUUUGAUUGAUCGAGAUUGACUCAAUAAUUGAAGAUCCGGUGAUUGCCUGAAUAUUCUUGGAAGGUUCUACUUAUGGAAACCGAGAUCCUGAUUAUAUGGGCGAACAUGAUUGAUGGGCUAUCGACACGUUCCUUUAAUAGCUCGAAUAAUCUUCCUAAUUGAUUCCGUCCAACGGGUAGAUUGGAGGAAUUCCUUUGGUAAGUGCCAACGGGUAUGAUGGCAUAAAGGAGUAUAUAAGAAAGACGUUCUAAGUUGUUCGAGGUGUGCGCGAUAGAAGAAUUCCAAAGUCUAAAGCUCUUUGUUGUUUAGACAAUUCCUUUGAGCGAAACCUUGUAUACAAAAGAGAGUCUAUAUUUGUGAGAAACCUUGAGGAGGUGUGAUAGAACAUCUACACUGUGGAAUCAAGGAAAAGCUGUGCUGUAACUACUCUUUUGUUCAUAGUGAAAUCCAGCCGGUGGGCUGUCAGUGCGGAAGAGUGGACGUAGGCUUGGAAUAAGCCGAACCACUUCAAUUAUCUCUUCCUUACUCUCUUUACUUUGAUCAUACUUCAUUUCGUUAAUCAAUAGUGAACUUCCUUUCUAUCAGUUGCCUAGAAUUGCUUUCGUAUCUCGAUAAAUUGUUUGUGCACCUAUUCACCCCCCCUCUAGGUGCUUAUACUAGCUAUCUUAAUUGGUAUCAGAGCUCGUGUACUCACUUUGUUUGAAGUGUUUUACUUCAGAGUUAAAGAUCCAUGGCUAGUAUGUUGGCUCCAGGGCUGGUAGAAGGGCAAAACAACACCAGACCGCCUUACUUUGAUGGAAAUGACUACAACAUAUGGAAAAACAAGAUGAAGGCGUUCUUAAGAUCAAAGGAUCCUCUGGAAUGGGACGUUGUAGAAAAAAGAAUCGUUCCUAAAGCUGUUCCUGUCUCAGAAAGAGGAAAAGACACUGUUGAGUCUAGUGAAAUGACUCAGGAAGAGAUAAUCAAGAGACAAGCUCUUGAUGCAAAAGCAAUUUAUUCUUUAUAUUGUGCUUUAUCACCUACUGAAUAUAACAGAAUAUCUUCUUGUGAUACAGCCAAAGAAGUCUGGGAUAGAUUACACAUUACAUAUGAAGGAACCGAUCGAGUGAAAGAGACUAGAAUCAACAUUCUUCUCGGUCAAUAUGAAGCCUUCAGAAUGAAACCUGGAGAAUCUAUAACUGACAUGUUUAGUCGUUUUACAGAAAUCGUGAAUGGUCUUGAAAAUCAAGGUCGACCAAUUUCUGAUCCCAUGAAAGUAAACAAGCUACUGUGUGGACUCUCCAAGGAUUGGAAUCACAUAAAGACCUCAAUCAAAGAGACUCAAAGAAUCAUGCCACUGUCUGUCGAUGAGUUGGUUGGGACUCUUUGAUAACUCUAUAAAAAUAGAGUUAUUUUACCUAUUUUAGGCAGUAAUUAAUGCAUUAUUUGUGAGAAAAUAUUUGGAUUUCCUUCUGAUUAUUUGAAUUUUCCUUGUUUAUGCAGAAUAAUGAGAUAUUGAGAGGAUAAGGAAAAGAAUGUCAACUAUCAGGAAUUCAAAUAAAAGCAGCAGUGGAAGAUAGAUAUCAAAUCAGGAAAUUCUUGAUUUUGUUCCCUAAUGUUAUCUGCAAGCGUUGGGAGAUAGAUAUUUUAGAUUUCCUAUAAAUAGGAAGAGAGAGCAGCUAGGGUUAGAGUUAGAUCAUUUUUUUUUUAUUCCUUUGAGAGUUUUUUCAAGUAUUUUGAAGAGAAGAUAAAAGUGGUGACAGAAUUCUUGUCUUUUGAUUCAAGAUGCUGGGUUUGAUCUAUAUUUUUAUUUUUAUUUUUUCUUCUACUAUGUUCUAAUUUUCUUUUGUUAGGGCUACGAUGUAGCCUAACCAUGAUGAUGUGAAUUUCAUGAUUUUUAUGUUUUACAAUUGAUUUCAUUCAUGUGAGUUAUAUAUUAUUGCGUUUAAUGCUUUUGAGUGACUGGCCACCACUUGAAUGAUCUGAUGUGCAUGUUUGAGACUGAGAGGUGAUAAUAUGCAAUUGCUCAUUAUAAUAUAUAACCAUGAAUUAAACGUGGAUAGAAAUAUACUGCGUUAUUUGUGUAGCUUUCGGUGAUAAGGUGAUCCAAAAGACUCAUUGUAAAUCGGGAAUAUUCAUAGUUUUUAAUGCACUCAUGUUUAUUUUAAUUCACAUAGAGAUAUAGUGGAUUAAUAAGCUGAGUAGGUUUGCUAUACCUAGAGAUAGGAUAGUAAAUAGGUUAGGAAAUUCCGCUAUCACAUGUUAGAUAUCGUUCUUGUACUCAUAACAAUAUGAAAUUCAUAUCUAGUGAUUAUGGUGAAAUCGUAUGCUUUAACAUAUUUAUCUGAUUGAUUUUACUGCAUUUAGUCUUCAAAGUCUUCAAGUUUCGUUUUUAAUUUAUUAUUAAUUAUAUUUUGAUCUGUUAGAUAAAUUUUAGAAUUAAUCUAUUUUAGUAUUUAAUUAGUUUAUUAAUCAUCGAUCUCCGUUGGACGAUACUUUAUCUCAUCAUUAUAUUACUUGUUUAAUACGUGCACUUGCGUUUAGAAUUUUACGAACAAGUUUUUGGCGCUGUUGUUGGGGAUCGUUUGUUUAAUACUAAUUAAUAUUGAUACCAGAUAAUUCUAAGUUUAAUCUAGCUUUCGUUUUGUUUUAUUUUUCAGGGUGUACAUCGAUUUAUGACACGUAGCCAACAAGGGAAACUUGUUGAGCUUGAUCCAGAAAUCGAGCGUACAUUCAAAAGGCGACUAAGAGAACAGAGAAAUCACGCUAAGAUGGCAGACGGUGAGAAUGAAAAUCCACGUAGACUCUUAAGAGAUUAUGCUGCGCCAACAGUUCAAGGCACCACAUCAAGUAUCAGAAGACCUGCAAUUCAAGCAAACAACUUUGAGAUUAAGCCGUCACUUAUUCAGAUGCUUCAACAAUCAGUGCAAUUCAGUGGGCUACCAAGCGAUGAUCCAAAUGCUCCUUUUGGAUACUCAAUGGGUUGAAAAUUUUUAUGUUAUAUUUGGAGGGACUUUGGGAGAAACUCCACCAUAAAGCAAUUCUAAAAAAAAAAAAAAAAGAGAAAAGAGAGAGAGAGAGAAAAGGAAAGAAAAAAAAAAGAAUGAUGAUAUAUGGCGGCAGAAAAAUUAUCUUGAAGGAGUGAAAUUAGACAGUGACAUUGGCUCUAAUUAGAUCCUCGAAAUCAACGUGUUGAUGGGUGAUUUGAGCUUAAAAUUGCCAUUAUCUCACCUUUAGCCUAGCCUUACAUUACAACCCGAGAAAAGUCCUAUUGAUUUUUGGUUGGAUGAUUAACUUACAUUAGUGGAGAGAGGAAUGAAAAGCAAACAUAUGAGAUUUGGUCAUAAUUAUUGAGAAUUUUUGAAAGGUUGCAUGUUAAUGUGAAUUUAUUUGGAUUGCAUAUAAUUCGAAAAAGAUGAGGACUCUCACACACACACUUGGAUCAUAUAGUUAGAAUUGGUCUUAACUUAUAAAUCGAUUUCAAUGUUUGGAUGAAAUUUGUGUUUUUCUUUUAAUUGUGAAUUUGAGCAAUUAUGGAAAGAUGUCAUGGAGAAGGUUGUUAGGUUGAGUAUGUGUUAUGUCUUACUUUUGCUCGAGGACUAGCAAAAUGUUAAGUUUGGGGGUUUGAUAACUCUAUAAAAAUAGAGUUAUUUUACCUAUUUUAGGCAGUAAUUAAUGCAUUAUUUGUGAGAAAAUAUUUUGAUUUCCUUCUGAUUAUUUGAAUUUUCCUUGUUUAUGCAGAAUAAUGAGAUAUGGAGAGGAUAAGGAAAAGAAUGUCAACUAUCAGGAAUUCAAAUAAAAGCAGCAGUGGAAGAUAGAUAUCAAAUCAGGAAAUUCUUGAUUUUGUUCCCUAAUGUUAUCUGCAAGCGUUGGGAGAUAGAUAUUUUAGAUUUCCUAUAAAUAGGAAGAGAGAGCAGCUAGGGUUAGAGUUAGAUCGUUUUUUUUUUAUUCCUUUGAGAGUUUUUCAAGUAUUUUGAAAAGAAGACAAAAGUGGUGACAGAAUUCUUGUCUUUUGAUUCAAGAUGCUGGGUUUGAUCUAUAUUUUUAUUUUUAUUUUUCUUCUACUAUGUUCUAAUUUUCUUUUGUUAGGGCUACGAUGUAGCCUAACCAUGAUGAUGUGAAUUUCAUGAUUUUUAUGUUUUACAAUUGAUUUCAUUCAUGUGAGUUAUAUAUUAUUGCGUUUAAUGCUUUUGAGUGACUGGCCACCACUUGAAUGAUCUGAUGUGCAUGUUUGAGACUGAGAGGUGAUAAUAUGCAAUUGCUCAUUAUAAUAUAUAACCAUGAAUUAAACGUGGAUAGAAAUAUACUGCGUAAUUUGUGUAGCUUUCGGUGAUAAGGUGAUCCAAAAGACUCAUUGUAAACCGGGAAUAUUCAUAGUUUUUAAUGCACUCAUGUUUAUUUUAAUUCACAUAGAGAUAUAGUGGAUUAAUAAGCUGAGUAGGUUUGCUAUACCUAGAGAUAGGAUAGUAAAUAGGUUAGGAAAUUCCGCUAUCACAUGUUAGAUAUCGUUCUUGUACUCAUAACAAUAUGAAAUUCAUAUCUAGUGAUUAUGGUGAAAUCGUAUGCUUUAACAUAUUUAUCUGAUUGAUUUUAUUGCAUUUAGUCUUCAAAGUCUUCAAGUUUCGUUUUUAAUUUAUUAUUAAUUAUAUUUUGAUAUGUUAGAUAAAUUUUAGAAUUAAUCUAUUUUAGUAUUUAAUUAGUUUAUUAAUCAUCGAUCUCCGUUGGACGAUACUUUAUCCCAUCAUUAUAUUACUUGUUUAAUACGUGCACUUGCGUUUAGAUUUUUACGAACACUCUUCAGUCUUAUGAAGUGGAACAAAUCAAUGAAGACGAAGAUCCUAAAGGUAAGAAAUCAAUUGCAUUAAAAUCUAAUGAUGAUUCUGAUGUAACAGAUUCUGAAGACGACAUGAAUGAUGAAGAACUUGCUCUCAUGAUAAGAAGAUUCAGAAAGCUGAACAGAAAAGGAAGAAGAUUCAAUUCAAAGAAACAAAGUUUUCAAAAGCAACAGACCAGGUCUGCUGAAGAUGAUGAAUCAAACAAAGAUAUAGUCUGCUUUGAAUGCAAGAAAAAGGGACACAUCAGACCCUACUGUCCUCUUCUAAGGAAGAAAAAAAGGAAAAACUGAAAAAUAUCGAAAAUCUCUCAAAGCUGAAACCUGGAGUGAUACGGAGUGCGAAGAUAGUGAUGAUGAUUAUGCCAACAUAUGUCUAAUGGCACAAUCAGACUCAGAAUCAAACUCCGAGACUGAUUCAGAUUCAGAAAGUGAAUUCGAGGUAAGUAACUUCAAAAUCCCUAUUAAAGUUUCAAAAUACAUUGAUGAAUUAUGUUUUAGUCUUAAGAUUUCUCUUAAAAGAAUUUCCGAACUCAAAAAGGAAAAUUCUGCUUUAAAACAACAAGAGAAUGUUUUGGAAGAAAAAGUGAAAUGCUUAGACCAGAAUGUUUCUUCUCUCAAAGAAAGUAAAGAUAAUCUUUUAAAAGAAAAUGCAUUUUUGAAAAAUGAUAUUUCAAAUAUUUCCAAAAGAUUUUCUAUAGGAUCUGAGAAACUAGAAAAAAUACUUUCUGUUCAAAGACCGUAUUUCAAUAAAUCAGGUUUAGGAAUGACUGCUGAAACUAUUCCUUUAAUCGAUUUUCCUAAAGUGAAAGAAAUAAUCAAACAAAGACCCACAAGAAAUGUGUACAAAAAUCAUUUUGAAAGGAAUUUUGUAAAACCAAUAGGUCGUAAUGCUCUUAGAUGUUCAAAAUGCAAUAGUGCAUAUCAUUUUGAGAAAGAAUGUCCUAUGGUUUGGAGACCUGUCAAUAAAGUCUGGGCAAAAACCGUAUAUCAGACUAACUCAAAAGGACCCAAGAAAAUAUGGGUACCAAAGAAAGCUUGAGUUUCUUUUUAAAUGCAGGUCACUAUCAAGAAAAAGGUGAAAUGGUACCUGGAUAGUGGAUGCUCGAGACACAUGACAGGAGAUUCAAAUUGUUUCAUAAAGCUUGCUCAAGUGAAUGGUGGAAAAGUCUCUUUUGGAGGAAACAACAAAUGAAAAAUAGUAGGAUUUGGAACUGUAAAGAUUGGGAACCUCACAAUAAGCAAUGUUUCUUUAGUUGAAGGGCUCAAUUACAAUCUGCUCAGUGUUAGUCAGCUGUGUGAUGCCGGUUUUAAAAUCAACUUUCAAGAGGGUAUUUGUUCAGGAACCAGUAAAGACUCUACUCAGUCAUUCAUGGGUCGAAGACAUGGAAAUAUCUACCUCUUGGACGUGAAACCAGAUGAAUCGCAAUGUCUAAUCUCAAUCCAAGACGAAGCAAACUUAUGGCACAAAAAGCUUGGGCAUAUCAACAUGAAGCAGAUAGCCUAAAUCUCAGCAAAGAAGCUUGUUCGUGGUCUACCCAAUUUAUCAUACAAAAAGUCUGAUCUAUGUACACCAUGUAUAUUGGGAAAACAGGUAAGAAAUUCCUUUAAGCCAAUAAAUCAAGUUUCCACUAACCGUGUACUGCAGCUCUUGCAUAUGGAUCUUUUCAGACUAACAAGAACGCAGAGCAUUGGAGGUAAGAAAUAUUGCCUAGUAAUUGUGGAUGACUACUCACGAUUUACUUGGGUAUAUUUCUUGGCAAGUAAGUCUGAAAAUUUCUCUUACUUUGAAAAAUUUGCUAAGAAGAUUCAAAAUGAAAAUGGGUAUGUUAUUUCAAGUAUAAAAACAGACCAUGGAGGUGAAUUUGAAAAUCAAGAUUUUGCUAAAUUUUGUGAAGAAUCAGGUUUUCAGCAUUUGUUCUCUUCUCCAUAUACUCCAGAGCAAAAUGGAGUUGUGGAAAGGAAGAAUAGAUCUCUUCAAGAAAUGGCUAGAACUCUCUUAAUUGAAAGCAAUAUCUCUUUACGGUUUUGGGCUGAAGCAGUUUCAACAUCAUGCUAUAUUAUCAAUAGAGUUUUUCUAAGGCCUAUUCUAGAAAAAACCCCCUAUGAACUAUUUAAAGAAAAUAAGCCCAUUGUUUCAUAUUUUCAUGUAUUUGGAUGCAAAUGUUUCAUAUUGAAAAAUCCAAAUGAUCGAAUUGGUAAGUUUGAAGAAAAGUCAGAUGAAGGCAUCUUCCUUGGAUAUUCAACCACAAGCAAAGCGUACAGAGUCUACAACAAGAAGACUCAAAUUGUGGAAGAAUCAAUGAAUGUCAAAUUCCAAGACUCUAUUCAGACUCAUCUUGAAGAGACUGAAUCUGCUCCAGACUCUACAAAGUCUAAAUCUCAAGAAGUAGUUCAGACUUUGAAGGACCAGCAACAAGUGACUGUUGAAGAUUCAAGUGAAGGAAGUGACUAUCAAUCUGACAAAUUAACAAGCAACUGGAAACAUAAGUCCAGUCAUCCCAAAGAUCUUAUUAUUGGCGAUAUCAAUGAAGGAAUCCGCACAAGAUCCAAAAGAAGAGAAGAGUCUAGUGCUGUGGCUCUUAUUUCUGAAAUAGAACCCAAGAGCAUAGAAGAAGCUUUAUCCGAUGAGAGCUGGAUUGAAGCUAUGCAAGAAGAACUCAGACAAUUCAGAAUUAAUGAUGUAUGGGAGCUGACUCCUAAACCAAAAGGUAAAUCAAUUAUUGGAGCUAAAUGGGUUUUCAAGAACAAGAUGUAUGAGAAAGGAAAAGUCAUAAGAAACAAGGCUAGACUCGUGGCCAAGGGAUACACACAAGAAGAAGGGAUCGACUAUGACGAGACUUAUGCACCGGUAGCAAGGUUAGAAGCAAUUCGUUUAUUACUUGCAUUUGCUUGUCAUAAAAAUUUCAGGUUAUUUCAAAUGGACGUUAAAAGUGCCUUCCUAAAUGGAUUCAUCCAUGAGGAAGUCUAUGUGGAACAACCACCAGGGUUUGAAGACCCAAAGAAACCAGACUCAGUAUUCAGACUCAAAAAGGCCUUAUAUGGCUUAAAGCAAGCACCUCGAGCUUGGUACGACAGAUUAAGUAAGUUUUUAAUUCAAAAUGGAUUUGUUAAAGGUAAAGUAGACACUACUCUUUUUAUUAAAAGAGAAAGCAAAAGUUUCCUGCUUGUUCAAAUAUAUGUCGAUGAUAUUAUCUUUGAAUCCUCUAAUGAAAGUCUGUGCAAGAAAUUUUCUAAGACUAUGCAGGAUAAAUUUGAAAUGAGCAUGAUGGGUGAGUUAACCUUCUUUCUUGGACUUCAAAUAAAACAAUUGGAGGAAGGAACUUUCAUUCAUCAAGAAAAGUAUGCAAAUGAUCUUGUCAAAAAGUUUGGACUGGACAAUUGCAAAAAGGCUGACAUACCAAUGUCAAGUUCCUUGAAGAUAGACAAAGACGAAGAAGGAAAGAAAGUCAAUCAAAAGCUGUACAGGAGUAUCAUCGGAUCUCUUCUUUAUCUUACUGCUUCUAGACCUGACAUUUUGUUUAGUGUUUCCAUUUGUGCCAGAUUUCAAUCAGACCCAAAAGAAUCUCAUUUGAAUGCUGCGAAGCGUAUUAUUAAAUAUGUUUCAUCAACUUCAAGCUUUGGUCUCUGGUAUCCAAAAAGGGGAGACUUUACUCUUCUUGGAUAUUCAGACGCAGACCUUGCUGGAUGCAGAGUCGAUAGAAAGAGCACCUCGGGUAUCUGUCAACUACUUGGAGGCAGGACAAUGUCUUGGUUUUCAAGAAAGCAAAGUACAGUAGCUCUCUCUAUAGCAGAAGCAGAGUAUAUAGCUCUCGGAAGUUGUUCGCAAAUUCUGUGGAUAAAACAACAGCUGAGAGACUUUGGAAUUGAAGACUCAUGCACGGAGAUUAAUUGCGACAACACCAGCGCUAUCAACCUCACCAAAAAUCCAAUUCUCCACUCAAGAGCAAAGCAUAUAGAGAUUCGACAUUACUUUAUUAGAGACCAUGUUCAAAAUGGAGAUGUUUCAAUUCAAUAUGUUGAUUCAAAGAACCCAACUGGCGGAUAUAUUCACAAAGCCUUUGGAGAAAAAUCAAUUUGAAACCAUCCGUUCCAAACUCAACAUUUUAAGGUAUGAGGAGAUCAAAGUCUAAAGACUCUCAGACUCAGACAUACAAGACUUUAACUGUGAGAUAGUCUUGGUAUGACUGUCAGACUGUAAGUUAGUCUUUCUCUCUCUCGAAUCUUAUCUUGAAAAGGUACGAUUGUGAACCGUGUUUUAUUGCUAUCUUUAAUCGGCAUAAUUAUUGCAUCGUUUCCUUUUCGAAAAAGAAGUUAUUUUUGAAAUGACUAUUUUCGCAGAAAAAGGACAGUUAUUUUGAAAAUGCAUCUUUUUAUUUUCCUUUGUGACAGUUCGUUUAUCUCUCUUUUUAACCGAUCGUGCACUGUUGAUUCCUCUCCACUUCACUCUCGAAAACCCUAGAACGCAUCGAUCCUCCAUUCCCGUUUUCUUCCCUUGUUUAAUCUUCAAAAAGUUAUCUUCUUUCUUGGGAAAGUCAAGCAAGGAAUCUUCCAAAAACUUAGAAAGAUGUCAUCUUCAAGAAAGUCUUCGAGAAUCGCAAGCAGGGGACCACGGCGAAUGAGUGAGGGGCCUACGCACUUCGAUCUCACCGAAGAAGAAGUGUCUCCAGAAUAGCAACCGAGCCCACAACAUUCUCAGCAGUGUCAUUCUCCUACAUCUAGUCCUCAAGGCGUUGAUCAUCAACAAGAGGAAGAAAUCAUUGAGGAUGCAGAUCCGGUAAGAGUACAAAAGCCCGCUUAUAUUUAUAAGCUAUAUCGUGCCUUAAAAGGAACUCGUACUCACUUGAACUAUGUUGAUGAUUUUCUUAAAGACAAAGGAUAUGGGAACGAAUAUAUCUUUUUGCGGAAAAUGGAAAGUUUGGGAAUUGCUCGUAAAUGGGUGGCUGAGGAAACCCUUGCGAAUAUCCCAAGUGAUCCUCGUGAUUGGGGACCAAAUCCUGUAGAUGGGGAUGAUGAUGACAAAUUGUACAGCCAAUUUCAACCGAGAAUGGGUGUCGCGGUUGAAAAUCGAGGAAAAAUGGGAGAUUUGUUCAGAUCGAAGGAACAAAAGGAUUUGUACUCAAAAUUGCUGAAGCGUGGGGUGAUAAACCCUAGAAGUGUGGAUUUUGAUUUCCUGGAUGCUGUGAAUGUGAACUUGAGGGAAAAGUUCAGUUAUCUUCAACUUGAGAAGUUCUGCUCCGACACUACAGAGGCCUAUGCAGAAUUAACCGCAUAUUUCUAUUCAAAUCUUAGCUUUUUGGAUGCGAAUAGAUUUUCAUUCAGUGUCAAAGAUCAAGACUAUAUUGUGGAUAUGGAUAUGCUGGCAGAUGUGUUAAGAGUUGAAAGAGGAAGAUAUCAACCGAUCAAAGUUUCCAUUGCUCGGGCCACACUGGAACUGGUGAAGGACAAGAGAGCAGAGGAGAAGAUCACCUACCUAAGGAUGAGUGCAUUCAACAUCUUGCUUCACAAGAUUGUGAUCAAUUGCCUCCGACCGAAAUCAACCUCCAAGACUGAUGUUUCAAGUUCAGAGGCCAAGCUGAUGUAUGCCAUUCUCACUGGGAAAAGGUUUUCUCUCCCUCACACUAUCAUGUUCCACAUGUAUAGAGCGAUGAUGAAGGACAGAGGUCAACUCCCUUACCCAAGCCUUGUUACGAAGUUAUUCAGACAUCUGAAUAUUCAGCCUCCGCAAAUCUUUUGUGUUCGAUCGUGCGAUCAUAUGGUGGUAGGACUGAAGAUGGUGACCAAAAUGCGUCUGAAAGAACUGAACAAGGAGUUGGAGAAAUUCAAGGAGAAGACUCCAGUCAAAGCUCAUCAAACCUCUUCUUCAAAAAGGAAAGGAAAGGAGCCCUUGGUUGCUUCAAAAUCGAAAAGGAGAGCUCUUAUUGUGGAAGAUGAAAAAGAUGAUGACCUUACCAUUUCGGCCAUAUCUUUGAAGAAGCUAAGUCGUACUGUUCCAGAGUCAAUGGAACAACGUGAGACAGAAGGAAAGGAAAGAGAAGGCCAAGAGGAAAGAGAAGGUCAAGAAAAGGAGAGAGAAGAAGAAGAGAAAGAAGAAGAAAGAGCAGUUGGCGAAAAAGAAGUAGAGGAGGAAAGACCUGAAGAAGAAAGAAGAAAAGAAGGAGAACCUAAGGAACACUCUUCUCCACCUGUAGGCAUGGAAACAGGGGGAGAUCAAGAGAAAGGAGGGAAGUCCUCAUAUCCUGAUGCAAGUGAAGGAGUCAGUCGCUCACCUGCAGACCCAGAGGACGUUUAUGCCUCUCAAUUUCCAGAAGAAGGUCAUGAAGUUUCAUCGCCAAACCUGCGAGAUUAUUCUGAUAUGCCAUCAUCUGCAGAACGUGCUGAAGCUAGUACGCAGACCGAUAGCUCAGCCGAUUUUCGUAGAAUUAUGGAUAUUCUCUUAGAGAUGCGAGGUCAAAUUUAUGCAUUGGGAUGCGAGAUUCAAAACUUGCAAAAUGCGGGUCAAGUUUCUUCAUGUUCAUUGAAUGAUAAAAUCCAAGCCCUCAUUGUUCAGAUUCAGGCCAGUGCCAAGGGUGAGGAGAUUGCACAACUGAAGGAAGACUUGAAAAGGCUGGAAGGCAUCGUUCAGUCUAUGGGAGAUUUCCAGCUUGUCCGCGUUCCCAAGCAAUCUUGACUUCAUUCUAUUUUCAUCUCAACCUUUUUAAUGCUGACAAAAAGGGGGAGAGAUGCAAGAUUUGAACAAUUGGACUUUUUAAUCGUAUGGUUUGUUGGACUGUGUUGGACAGCUUGUUGGAUUGUUUUGAUGUUUGAACUCUGUUUGUUUGACUUUGUUUUUGUGUCUAGAUGAGAACUGAACUAGACUUGGACUUGACUGCUUCUAUUAACUACUAUUGAUAUCUUAUGGAUGGCUUUAUCACAUAUUAGACUAACCUAUUUUCUGUGGUUGCAGAUUCUAGUGUUAUUCAUUUAGCCAUUUAUCUCUAUAAGAUAUGCAUAUGUGUUUGAGAAAUGUUUUGCAGGUUAAAGUUGUCCAAAUCUGUAGGAAAGUUUUGUCACCAUCAAAAAGGGGGAGAUUGUUGGAGAAAUCUUCUUGAAGUGUUUUGAAGCUGACAAAACGUUUCUAUCAGUCUAGUUUGAAGGUUUGCAGACUCUGCUAUUUAAAGUCUGAAGACCACCGACAGCCAGACUCAAGACUCAAAGUCUAUCCUCAUUGACAGUCUCUAAUCCGUUGAAGAAAGGUUAUCCAAAACUGGAUGUUUCGUUAAGGAUAUGACCUUAUCAACUGGAGAAGAUCUCGUGGCUGGAAAAGACAUAACAGAAUCCUUUGAUUGAUCGAGAUUGACUCAAUAAUUGAAGAUCCGGUGAUUGCCUGAAUAUUCUUGAAAGGUUCUACUUAUGGAAACCGAGAUCCUGAUUAUAUGGGCGAACAUGAUUGAUGGGCUAUCGACACGUUCCUUUAAUAGCUUGAAUAAUCUUCCUAAUUGAUUCCGUCCAACGGGUAGAUUGGAGGAAUUCCUUUGGUAAGUGCCAACGGGUAUGAUGGCAUAAAGGAGUAUAUAAGGAAGACGUUCUAAGUUGUUCGAGGUGUGCGCGAUAGAAGAAUUCCAAAGUCUGAAGCUCCUUGUUGUUUAGACAAUUCCUUUGAGCGAAACCUUGUAUACAAAAGAGAAUCUAUAUUUGUGAGAAACCUUGAGGAGGUGUGAUAGAACAUCUACACUGUGGAAUCAAGGAAAAGCUGUGCUGUAACUACUCUUUUGUUC
rnacentral:lncRNA from 1 species